UACGAGAGGCCCAAACGUUAUUCGGAAUUACUGGGCUUAAAGAGUUCGUAGGCGGCGCGGAAAGUAGGGUGUGAAAGCCCUCGGCUCAACCGAGGAAUUGCGCUCUAAACUACCGUGCUUGAGGAAGCUAGAGGUGAGCGGAACUGAUGGUGGAGCGGUGAAAUGCGCAGAUAUCAGGAGGAACACCGGUGGCGAAGGCGGAUCUCUGGGCCUUACCUGACGCUGAGGAGCGAAAGCUGGGGGAGCAAACAGG
rnacentral:rRNA from 1 species